rnacentral:misc_RNA from 1 species
AACGCAUAUUGCGCCCUCUGGUAUUCCGGGGGGCAUGCCUGUUCGAGCGUCAUUAUCACCCCUCAAGCCCGGCUUGUUGUUGGACGUCGGCGGCGGCCUUCAGUGGCGUACCGCCCGUCUCAAAGAUAAUGACGGCGUCUGUGAGGACACCUGUACACUGAGCUUCCGGGCACGUACUAGGCUGACACUCGCAGACCCGGUCUCUAGGGUUCGCCUCGGCGACCCUAACUUUUUACCAAGGUUGACCUCGGAUCAGGUAGGAAUACCCGCUGAACUUAA